AUGCCAGUGAGAGAGCCUGUUUGUGCACAGCUGCACAUACAUAAGGGAAUGGCGUGCAUGCCUGGAACCUGGCUUUCCCUUACUCUCCUCUUCUCCCGCCAGCUAUGCUUGUUUCUUCUCUUAUCUCCAGAAAUGGCCACCAGUGUGACAGACCAUGAAAAUGUAAGGAUCAUCACACAAGUCGUCCAACAAACAGAUCCGCAGGCUGUUGCUAGUGUGCUUGGGAAUACAUCCAUUGCAUCACAGCUCAAGCCAUCGCAGAGCCAAAGGCUGAAUACGCUGCCAAAGGCACUCGGGGUUGUGCAGAUUGUGUUGGGGGCUAUACAGAUAUGCUUUGGCAUUGCUCUGACAGAAGCACAAAAGAACUUUAAGAGCUUCACUGUGAAGAGUGCAGUCUACUUCUGGAUUGGGAUCUUGCUGUUGUUCUCUGGGUCCUUGUUGGUGGAAAUGGAGAAAAGAAAGCAUGCAUGGCUGGUGAAAGCCUCUUUCUUUGCUGGCUUGUUAGUCAGUGUGGCUGCAGUGAUUGCAGUCAUCCUCCAUGUUAUUGAGAUUUUACAAGAAAAGAGAAAAGGAAAUCCAUGUGAUAAGCAUCCUGACAAAGAUUGUGUUGCUAGUAGUCAGUUGAUAAUAUACAGUCUGAACUCAGUCUUCAUCAUCCUUUCACUCCUUGAACUGUCUGCAGCUGUCACUGCAUUGGUGACUGGAUUUAAAGACAGAAGACAGCAACCUUAUCAAGAGAUGUUAAUGUGA
rnacentral:lncRNA from 1 species